rnacentral:rRNA from 1 species
GUAGGGAAUAUUGGGCAAUGGAUGCAAGUCUGACCCAGCCAUCCCGCGUGCCGGAAGAAGGCCCUCAGGGUUGUAAACGGCUUUUGACGGUGAAGAAUCGACAGGAUGCGUCCUGUUUUGACGGUAGCCGUUGAAUAAGCACCGGCUAACUCCGUGCCAGCAGCCGCGGUAAUACGGAGGGUGCGAGCGUUGUCCGGAUGUAUUGGGUUUAAAGGGUGCGUAGGCUGGAAGGUCAGUCAGCGGUGAAAAGCUGUCGCUUAACGAUAGUCUUGCCGCAGAUACUUCCUUUCUUGGAUGAGGAGGAGGCCACUGGAACGGAUGGUGUAGCGGUGAAAUGCAUAGAUAUCAUCCAGAACACCGAUUGCGAAGGCAGGUGGCUGUACCUUAAUCGACGCUGAUGCACGAAAGCAUGGGGAGCAAACAGGAUUAGAAACCCUAGUAGUCC